rnacentral:ncRNA from 1 species
AUCGAGCUGAAAUGCGGAUUAUAGUUGAUGAACGUGAAUCCGCGCGCUUGAUCGAUUGCGUGAAACAGCGGGUUCCAGUCAAACAGCGCCAGCAUCGACCCCGGCAGCGUGUUGGCCAAAAACAUCUUUCCUGACGAAAUCAUGUUCGCGCGCUG